UACGUAGGGGGCAAGCGUUGUCCGGAUUUAUUGGGCGUAAAGAGCGUGUAGGCGGCUAUACAGGUCCGUUGUGAAAACUCGAGGCUCAACCUCGAGACGCCGAUGGAAACCGUAUGGCUAGAGUCCGGAAGAGGAGAGCGGAAUUCCUGGUGUAGCGGUGAAAUGCGCAGAUAUCAGGAGGAACACCGGUGGCGAAGGCGGCAUCCUGGACCGGCAUUGACGCUGAGGCGCGAAAGCCAGGGGAGCAAACGGG
rnacentral:rRNA from 1 species